rnacentral:rRNA from 1 species
AUACGUAGGGAGCGAGCGUUGUCCGGAAUUACUGGGUGUAAAGGGUGCGUAGGCGGGACGGCCAGUCAGAUGUGAAAUACCGGGGCUCAACCCCGGGGGUGCAUUUGAAACUGUCGUUCUUGAGUGAGGUAGAGGUAAGCGGAAUUCCUUGUGUAGCGGUGAAUUGCGUAGAUAUUAGGAGGAACAUCGGUGGCGAAGGCGGCUUACUGGGCCUUUACUGACGCUGAGGCACGAAAGCGUGGGGAGCAAACAGGAUUAGAUACCCUGGUAGUCCACGCUGUAAACGAUGAUGACUAGGUGUGGGGGGACUGAACCCUUCCGUGCCGCAGUUAACACAAUAAGUCAUCCACCUGGGGAGUACGGCCGCAAGGUUGAAACUCAAAUGAAUUGACGGGG